AAUGAUUAUAAUUUGUGUUAUGAGUUUGUAUAUUGAAGUUGGUUAAUGAUUUUGGAUGAGGUAAGAAGAAAUUGGUCGUAAGUAUGUUUGGUUGCUUUGGAUGUGUUUCAUACUAAUAUAUAUAUAUGUGAAUUUGAUUACUAUGUUUAGUCUUAGUCUUAUAUGUUUUUUUUAGUUGUAAUGUUUAAAGAACUUAGUUUUGGUAAUUCAGUGGUGAAAUCUUUUGGAUGUGUUCGUGGUUUUUAGUAAUGUAAUCCGAUUAUGAAAGGUAAUAUGUAAUAAAAAUGUCCC
rnacentral:lncRNA from 1 species